rnacentral:rRNA from 1 species
AGAUUAGGUGUUCCCUUCGGGGACGCUGAGACAGGUGGUGCAUGGCUGUCGUCAGCUCGUGUCGUGAGAUGUUGGGUUAAGUCCCGCAACGAGCGCAACCCUUGUCAUUAGUUGCCAUCAUUAAGUUGGGCACUCUAAUGAGACUGCCGGUGACAAACCGGAGGAAGGUGGGGAUGACGUCAAGUCAUCAUGCCCCUUAUGACCUGGGCUACACACGUGCUACAAUGGACGGUACAACGAGAAGCGAACCUGCGAAGGCAAGCGGAUCUCUUAAAGCCGUUCUCAGUUCGGACUGUAGGCUGCAACUCGCCUACACGAAGCUGGAAUCGCUAGUAAUCGCGGAUCAGCACGCCGCGGUGAAUACGUUCCCGGGCCUUGUACACACCGCCCGUCACACCAUGAGAGUCUGUAACACCCAAAGCCGGUGGGAUAACCUUUAUAGGAGUCAGCCGUCUAAGGUAGGACAGAUGAUUAGGGUGAAGUCGUAACAAGGUAGCCGUAGGAGAACCUGC